rnacentral:lncRNA from 1 species
AACAACAAUUGUUCUAAAAAUAGAAUUAAUAUUAAUUAUUAAAUUCUUAAUAAGAAAAAUAAAACUAGUAACUAAACUAAAUGGCAACAAUUGCCUUCAGGCUAGUCUAUUCCUUAUUUUCAAAAUUAGAAGCUUGUUCUACUUCUUCUCCUUCAAAUCAAUGAGAUAAACCUUGCAGCUCCUUAUUCAAUGUCAUUCCUUCCUGUAAUGGUGACACUUUCCUUUAUCCUUGUUGACACGAGAUAAACCUUGUGAUUUCUUCUUCAAUGUCCUUCCUUCCUAUAAUGGUGACACUUUCCUUUAUUCUUGUUGACACCUCCAAUAGCCUUUAAGGCUUUCUUGGACUUCUGGGCUUUCUUUCUCUUUUUCUUCUUAGACUUACUCUUACCAGUCUUAGAGGGUUCUACCAUUAGAACAACUCCCUUUUGCUCCUUUAUGGUGUCAUCUACAAUCAUUAACAUAUUAAUAAGUUCAGGUAUUGUAGUAUCUAACCUAUUCAUAUGAAAGUUCAUAACAAACUAUGAAUAAUUGUCAAGUAGAGAUUGUAAAAAUAAGUUUAUACUUAAUUCAUGGUCCAUCACAAAAUCAAGACGCCCAUGUUCAAUAUAUCCAAGCAUCUUUAGUCCAUGUGUAUUCAUAGAUGCACCUUCGGCCAUCUUGCAUUGGAAAAAUUCCUUUGAGGUCUCAUAUCUUUCAGUCCUUGACUGCUCAUCCAACAUUUCCUUGAAAUGUAAGAUGAUAGUUUGAGCAUCCGUAUUCUCAUCUUGUCUUUGUAGUCCAUAAGUCAUUUUUUUUAACAUCAUAUAAACAACUUCUUGAGGCUUUUUGUACUCUUGUACUACCUCCUUGGGUGCAUUUGCAGUAGGGAGAUGCAACGGAGAUGUGUCUAGCACAUAAAGCUUCUUUUCUUAUUUGAGAGCAAUUCUCAAAUUGUGAUGCCAAUCAACAAAGUUCGGCCUAGUAAGCUUGUUGGUGUCAAGGAUACUAUGCACAGAUAGAUUGCCACUCAUCUAAAGAAGGAUUUAAAUCUAAGCUUAUACCCGGAAGUUUAAUUUACACAAGUAACUAGUAAAGAUCUUGUAACCAGUUGCUUAUGCUCCCACUAUUUUUCAAUACAAACUAAUAGCCCUCACUAUCAAUUCAGAAUGCUAACAAUUUAGUUAUCCUAGUGGGCUAGAAUUCCAUCUAUUUUAAUAUGCCUUUGAGUGUCCCAAUAAACCAUAUUAAAAUAAAUUAGGUAGACAACUAUUUAUCAAUUGUAUCUCUAUACAAUUUCUAGAUCAAUUAGGCGUCAAUGACAUUUGUCUAAACAUAUUUUAUGAUGUUCCAAACAUCAAAUAUAUUUCACCUAAUUCAUGCCUCUAUCUUCGUAUAAACAUGAGUGACUCAUCUGAUUUAUAUAAGAUAGUUAAGUAAGACCCAUCAAUUAAAAUAGAGAACAUGCCCAGGUAAUAGGCAACCUUGAGUGACUCAACAAAUUGACCUAUGAACAAGGCUCUCGUUCCUAUUUUAAUUAUGGAAGGCAAUUUAAUCAUGUUCUUAACAUGUGACUUAAUAUUGAAUGAGAGAUUUGUUAUCAAAUGGUGAUUAAGAUCACAUGCUUUGGCAUGAACAUACAAAUAUCGAAUAUAAGGGUUUCAUGCUUUGGCAUGAUCAUACAUAUAUCAUACAUCAUAUAUAUAAUAUAAGGUAAGCAUGCCAAACUACUAUGGAUGAUUAUGGACUUUCUAAACUAGUUAUCUCGAACCAUCAAGGAUAAAUAGAUGGUCAAAACCUAGAUAUUGCCUUCAUGAUCUCCGAGUCUUGAAGCAAUAUCCCUUUCAUCUCCAUCUUAUGCCAUAUCUUCAUCCAAAUUACAAAAUAAAAUUCUAUCUAACUAAUCUAAAACUAUAUAACUAUUAUAUAAGAUUUAGAGAAACCUUGAGUUGCAUUCAAGGGGAGUUACAUGGGAAGAAUUUUACAAUCUCGAGAAAAUCAAAGAAAGGCAAAGAACGCAACUCUUAUUUCAAAAAUACCAAAUUUAAAGCAUUCAACACAAUAAUAUUAGUCUUUAUAGUCCAUAACCAUCCAUCAUAUGCCAAAUAUAAUCAUAUUAUAUAAAGCAUAUAAAAAAAUAAGAUAGCAUAAUUCAAGUUAUUUGAUCAUUGCAUGCAAUUAGGAUUAAAUGGGAUAUUGAGAAUUAUAAUAAUUAAAUCAUAUUCAAAAAUAAAAUUCUCCUUAUUUUAGUGUAAUUUUCGGCCAAAACAAAAAUUAGGACAUAAAGCCCAUCUUAGUCAUACUAGAUACCAAGAUUUAAUCUUAGUUGAAGAAAGUCGUAGAGAAUUAAAAUUAAUUAAAUCAGAUUUAAUUAAUAACUAAUUCCCUUUAAAAUAUCCUUAAAUUUAGAUUUUAUGUCCUUUUAAGAUACAAAGUCAAACAUUAAGACAUAAAGUCAAACUUAUGUCUUAAUUAAGACAACAACCUAAUCACACUAGAAUACUAAGAUAUAAUUCUUAUAAUGACAUAAACUAAUGAGAAUUUAAAUUAAUUAAAUCAAAUUUAAAAAUAGAAAUUCCCUUAUAAUUUAUGUAAUUUUCAGCCAUGUCUAGAAUUUAGGACAAGAGUCAAACUCUUGUGUUAAUUUAGACAACUUCUUAGUCCAACUAGAAUUCUAAAAUUAUAGGUCUUUCUCCUAAAGGAUUAAUAGUACUUAUAUUAAUUAAAACAACCUUUUAAUUAAUCUUCUAAUUAUAUUAGAACAAGUAAUUAUAAUCUUAAGACAACUAGAAUAUGUCUUAAGACAAGAAGUCACAUGCCAACUAGGAUACUUCAUCUAGAAAUCCCUAUAAACAAGGACACUCCUUAUUUAACAAGAUUUAAAGAUCUAACAAGGCUAAUUAAUCAUAUUGAUUCAAUAAUUAAUUGAGUUCAUCAAGAUUCAUCAAGAUCUAUCAUCAAGAAAAUCAUAUUUUCUAUCAAACAAUUCAAGAUAAUCAAGAUUCAUGUGACAAUCAUGGAGAAAUAAGGCAACUAUGGAAGGAACGUGAUCAAGAUUUAUAUUAACCAUCAAGAUUCUUUAAGAACUUAUCUCAUGCAUGAUCUACAUAUGAUUUUCUUCCUCAAAAGGCUUGCCAUUAGAUCAAGAAUCACACAUGUGCUGAAUUCCAACAAGCAACCCAUACUAUGCACAUAACUCAUCAAAUCAAAACUUGAUUUGUAUGUUGUGUGCAUAUGUGGUGUUCAUGUAGAUAAAACCUUAAACUUCCAGAAAUCUAAAAGUUCACUAUUCAUCUUCUAAAUCACAUUAAUUACUGUCUAAAAUCAAAUCAAAUCAAAAUCCAUGCACAUGCACAUUGCCAAACCCUUAGGAUGUGUAGUAUGUGCAUAGUUUUUCUUUGAUAAUCAAGAAUCUAAUUCUCAAUUAUUUUAAACGAAUUUUAAACAUAAAUUAUUCAAGAAACAUUCUUAUAACAAUUACCCAUGAAUUUAUUUCAAUUAAUUUGCGAAUCAAAAUUUGAUUAUAGAUUAGGUGUUGUUGAUCGCAUCAAAGAUAUCUAUAUGCAUGGUAUAGAUUUAGAUCGCCCAACCCUUAAUCAUACGAGAUCCAAAAAUUCUAAAAACUUCCAGAUAAUAAGUUCUAUCCCUUAGGGUUCAUAUGCAACAAGAAUCACCUGAAAAUUUAAAUUAUAGCUAUGGCAACAAAUGAAAUCUUUAAAAUAGCCCAGAAAUUCUAAAUUCAUAUGGUUAUGAUCAAUUAACAAUUAUGCAACCAUUAUGACUAAAUUAAUCAAUGGAGGCUAUGAUACCAUUGUUGGAAAUUGAUAUUAAAACAUAAGAGAAUACACAAUGGAAGAAAUUAAAAACUUUUCACAAUUUCCAACAUGGAUCUUAUUGAUUAAGAUAGUCAUAACACACAAAACAAGCAAAAGACGGAGAAGGCUUACAAAGGGAGUUUUCAAUCAAUCCAAUGAGUGCUUCUUACUUUGUUGAUUCUUGAUUCCUAAAGGAUGAUUUAUGCAAUUUAAAGCUACUCAAGGAACUAGCCACUUUUAGUGAUCCACACAAGGUUCUAAGGAAAGAUCUCACUAAACCACUUUUAGGAGAUUAAGAAGAGAUGUUGGAGAUUGAAUGCUAGUUCCAAGCAAGGGGGAUGAAUCAAUUAAUCUUAUUAAUUGAUUCCCCUAGGGUAUGUAUCUCAAAGAAUCUUUUUCUUUUUUAGAUGUGCAGCCAUCCUUCA